CCUACGGGAGGCUGCAGUGAGGAAUAUUGGUCAAUGGCCGGAAGGCUGAACCAGCCAUGCCGCGUGAAGGUCAGUGCCCUAUGGGCGUUAAACUUCUUUUGUGCGGGAGCAAUAAUGGUCACGUGUGGCCAGACGAGAGUACCGUACGAAUAAGCAUCGGCUAACUCCGUGCCAGCAGCCGCGGUUAUACGGGGGAUGCAAGCGUUAUACGGAUUUAUUGGGUUUAAAGGGUGCGUAGGCUGUGAGGUAAGUCAGCGGUGUAAUGCUCCCGCUCAACGGGGUGAAGUGCCAUUGAUACUGGCUGGCUGGAAUGCGCGUGCAGUAGGAGGAAUGUGUGGUGUAGCGGUGAAAUGCAUAGAUAUCACGCAGAACACCGGUGGCGAAGGCGGCCUGCUGGACUGCUACUGACGUUGAGGCCCGAAAGCGUGGGGAGCAAACAGGAUUAGAUACCCCAGUAGUC
rnacentral:rRNA from 1 species